GCCGAUCAUCCAACAGAACGGCACCUCUACCCCUGGAGUUGUCUUGCCCGUUUGGUUUCCAAAAAUCAAUUUGAAAUGGUGCUUGAAAAGCCAGCAGCACCGAUGCAGGGUACAAGAAGCCACGGAGUUUGGUGGAACAACUGUUGAGUGCUCCUGCACAUCAAGGCACUGCUGCUGCUCUGGGAACAACCUGCAGGAUUAAGAACACCCAAUUUCUGCCUUUCAGGCACAGAAGUCAACAGAUCUUCUGGGGAGAUGAAAGGAAAGAAGCAGCCCAAGUUCUGUUAGGAGACAUCAGAUAUUACAGCCAAAACGUUCAAACACAGACCUCGUUUAGAAUGGACCCACGCUAUGAAAUUCAGAUCCAGAUCCAGAUCCAGAUCCAUCAAGCCUAUGAAGAAGGGAGCCAGGCAUUUAAUACAAUAUAUUAUAGAGAUGGGAAGACUGGUUGUG
rnacentral:lncRNA from 1 species